rnacentral:lncRNA from 1 species
GUGCUGGAGCUUUCAGCAGGAGCCUACGAUCCCAGAGCUGUUCCGGGAGCUCUUCUAAUCAGCACGGUAUCUGCCUGAACACCUCUGCGGCGAUACUCGGAGGAAGCAGUAAAGAUAAAAAGGGCUUCGAGACUGUGAGGAGCAGAUGCAAUCAUGGUCACGAUAUUAAUAUUUAGCUUAGUGUUUGCACACACCAGGCUCAUCAGAAGAGACCUCGGAGACUACAAAUGCCACGUGGAAAAUGCCUCAGAAACAGCUGGCCACAUAAGAAGCCUGGACGUCUUUCUGCAAGCCCCUGGGAUAGCAGCCACCGAAGGGAAGUUAAGCAGACGCCAAAAAGUCAGCACUCUGGAAUGCUUUAGUCAUCGAAGCUCUGUGCAAGUCAAUCUGCUGCACUUGGAGAAGCUGCACAGAGAUUUGGCAGAGUGGGCUGUGGAGAAGUGCACCCUGCAGAGCAUCGAAGUCAUCACCACUGCGGUCCGAGCACCCGCUCGCAACCACAGCUGUGUUCUACUGACACCCAAGAGAAAGAAGUUUCAUAGAAAAUUUGUUCUGAGAGGAAAAGUGUUUCUGCCAGGGGUAUCCAGCCGUGCUGUAAAAGCAAUGCUGCUCAAGCGGAAAGCUUUUUCUGAGGCUCCGACUAUGCCACCUGUGUACCACAGAAACCAGACUUUGCAGGCGGGAAUUACACCCAGAAAUGAUAGAGGUUUUAUGAUCAGAAAAAAAAAUAAGCAUCAUCAUUAA